CAAUUCUUAUGUAAUUAUAUGGAACUCUAAUUUAAGGUAGGCUGUGGGUGACCUUCAGUGUAUCUAAUAUGUUGUGAAUGGGACCCCAAAAUAAAAUUUCCCCAGAAGUGGUGGUGGUUGCUAAUGAUUCCUGUUCUUCUGUCACUGGAUACCUUGUGGAGUGACAGUGAACGUGCAGCUUUUAGGGGGCAGGGGUGGGAAUGGGAGGACUCCUUCUCAACUGCCACAAUGGGGUCUGGGGCUCAGAUCCUGACCCUGAGAGGGAUCAGCCACAGAACCAGGAUCCUGGAUCAGGGGUGGCACCCUCCUGCAAUGUUGAAGAAUCAGCACUAGGGGACAGCCGAGAGCCAAGUCAGGCUGGGAGGGCGCCUGGGAGCUUCCCCGCAUCCUCUGCUCUCCCUGCCAGUCUCCCGCCUGGGACCAUCCCUACCACCAAGACAGUUGCUACAGCUUAGAAGAUGGUGCCAUUUUUCAAAAGGGAAUCGCUUUGCAAGUAAACCUAAGUGUUUCACCGGCUCCUUCCAGUGGGAUACUCAGAAAUAUUCAAGAUAGUAGCAAGAUUGGUGGCAAGGACCAUUUCUCUGUAACACUGAGAAGGUUGACGUGGCACAGACAGAAGCGUCCUGAGAAGACCACUCUGCAGAAAGCCGUGACGUCACGAGUUUCUUCGAACUGGCCUUUACUAGCAUGGAACAAACCACCUCAAAAGGACAGCCUUCCAGGAUCAGCCAGAGUGUUCUUACAACUUCCCCGCAGAGGCCACUUCUUUGGUGAAUUUCUCCUGGACUGCAUCCCUGCCCAACCUCCCUCCACCUGUCCACACCUCUGUUUGCCUAUAAGCCACACGGCAGGUGAGUUUCAGGAGUCUGCGGGUCCCUGGAAUGCAAAUAACCAGAAACAGUUCGAAUCUCAGAGGUGGGGCGCAGGGGGGUCUGUGCAUGCACAUUUUUCCAGGGAAGGACCUAAAGCUUUUCAUCGCUUCUCCAAAUCAUUCUUUCCUGAGCUAAGGAGGCUAAAACGGCAAGUGUGGAGCGAGAGAGCAGUGAAUAAUUCUCCCUUAGAGCAGUACCACUGGGGAAAUCUGCUCUGAGGGGAAAGAACCCCUCUCCCCACUCCUCUGUGUUGAGGGGCAUCUGGUAAGAACAGACAGCAGGCACAGCCCGUCCAAAUGGGUCAACCGUCCACAGGGGUCAGAUGUGGCAACACAGCCUGAAGGAUGCCCUGAGGCUGGAGCAAAGCUGGCUCCAUGCAGACUGGCCGCUGUGAGCAGAGGGGUGGCUCAAGGCUCUGCCGCCUCCACGCCCCCACCCCUGCCCCCAGCCCUGUACCCUGUAGGUGACUAGCAG
rnacentral:lncRNA from 1 species